GUCCUAACUCAUCCUAGAAAUUAGCUCUACGGGUGGAGUAUCUAAGUCUCUUACAAAAGGCACGUUACUCAAAUCAACGUAGGAUUCAAUAAAUGGAGAACACUUAGGAAGAAUAGAUGGGAACAAACUUCCUAAGAUGGGAACAAAGAGAAAAAAGCUCUGAUACCAUGUUAAAAAUUUUAGAUUAGUCCUAACUCAUCCCAAAAAUUAGCUCUAGGGGAGGAGUGCCUAAGCCUCUUUUAUAAAAGGCACAUUAUUUUUAUCCCAAACUGAUUAUUCUUAUCCCAAACAAACCGAUUACACUUAUCCCAAACUGAACUGACGUAGGAUUCAACAAGUGGAGAACACUUAGGAAGAAUAGAUGGGAACAAACUUCCUAAGAUGGGAACAAAGAGAAAAUUAGAUCUAUAGAAAAAGAUUUAUUAAAGAAUAUAAAUAAUGUCUAACUGGUCAAAUUUUUAUAUUUUAAAAUGUGGCCAGUGCCAGGUAGGCAUGCCAACAUUAACAACUCACCUAAGCUCUUACUGGAAUCUGGUAAGAGUGGCUUUUUGUUUUUACUAAAUUAAAGUUGGAGAAAUUUUAUGUUACAAAUUGAAGUUAAGAGAUAACACUAUUAUCAGAGUAUAUGUUCAGGAAUGAAGGGUGAAAUAUACCUUCUAUUUCCUCCUUUGAUAAGAUACAUAUAGUUUGCUUCCCAUACACUAUUGCUACAAUAACUUCAAUUUGACAAGUUUUAUGGAAAUGUACUAUUGCUACUUUAUCAACAUUAGAGUCUGAGGUUUGGAUCUGAUGAUAAGGUAGACUCUGCUCAACACCAUUGUACCUUAUCCUGGUUUAAUAUAAUCUUGAUACUUGACAAGGCUUAAUGGUUGGUAUGUGUACUGUGGUGUUAAGCGGAGUCAAUCUCCAUGUCAUACACCCAUUUCAACUCAUUUGAUUGCUUCUCCAGAUUUUGGUUCUAAAAUUACAUUCAACAUUAUUUAAUUGAAGUGGGUUGUUGACAUAAGGUGGUAGACUGGACCAGGUAGUGGCCUUAGCUUAAACAAUCUUGACCAGCUUGUUUAACUUGGAAUGUAGAUAAUGUAAAUAUAAAAAGACAGGACUAUUGAAUGAGCUUCCUUCAAGCUCAACCCCUUAACCCAAGAAAAACAGAGGUAGUGAAGUCAUCAAUAUAAAAGUGUGAGCAUUCAAUUAGUUUGAUUUUGAACUGAACCAAACUGACUAAGCUGAAAAAUCGAACUCUAAAAUUGUAAAUCAAUCAAACCAAAUCGAACAGAAAUGCUAAGAAAUCUGAACUUGAUUAAACCAAAUUGGUUUAGGCUCAUAAACUAAUUGAUUGAAACAAAUAUGAUUAAAAUCAAAACAUAUGAGCCCAUAAACUAAUAGAGAAUAAUGAAGCCAAACAUGCUUCAAAAAGACAAUGCAGAAAUUAAAGGCAACAGAGCAAAAUUGAAAGUUAGAAACAGAUAAAUUUAGGGACGAGAAAUGGAUGGUGUGAUUGGAUGAAAUCAUAUUAUGAAAUUUUAGGGCUGCAAGUUGAAGCAGAUUCUGGGAAAGUUGACAAAAUAAUAUAAUAUUAACAUAAAAGGAACAAAUGAAGGAAUAGCAUUUCUUAUGGAGAUUGGAAUGAACAGUGGCCCAAAUACAGCAUAAUAAAUGGAUAAAGAAGAAGAGAACUGUACUCAGUAUUUGGUUUUUCAAAGAGGAGAAAAUAUUAAGAGCAAAACCAAAAAUUAAAACUCAGUUGAACUGAAAAGGUAAAUUCACCUUUCAAAUCCAACAAGCUAACGCCCUGGGCCUGGAGCCACUGAAAUAGAUGAUAAAAUCAGUGUUCUCUGAUUUACAUGAUAAUUGAAAAAUAAAGAAAAUAAAGUGAGGUUUUGGUGGAAGCAACAAUAUCACUGGUGGUGGUAUUUUUAAUUCAGGAGAGUUGCACGCAACAUUGAUUAAGUAGCUCGAGGACAAAGUGAAUAUGGUAAGGAUGCUAGACAAAAUGAGAAGGGAAAAAUGGAAAAAAAGAAUGAGGGUAGCAUGUAGAAUGAAGCUGAAAAUGAAGGGAUCCUCAUAAAUCAACUCCAACUUACUGAACAACUGUAUUUUUGAAGAAAUUCGGUUCAGUUCAAGUGGAAAGUUCUAUUCCUCUUCAAAACUGAACUAAACAAUCCAAAAAGUAUGAAAAUAAACCAGCCUGAAUUGAAUUUCCAAAUUAAUUUGGUUCUAUCAUUUUUUCAGUUUGAACUGAAUAUUGCUCAUCCUUUGCUCUAUUGGCAAACAUUACCAAAGAUACUUCUUAGCUAAUCAAGUCUCUAGAAGUAUAGAAGAGUACUAAUAAUCUUAGUUGCACUUCUGAGGAACUGGAAAAUGGUUAAGUAAAAUCUAGUAAAAAAAGGCUCUAAUUUUUUAAGUAUCAACAAUUAAUGUGCAUCUAUUUGCUCUGUUGGCAACCCCUCACUCUUAUUCCUUCGCAAAUUUUUAGAAUCUUUUACUAUUAUGAUUUUGCUACCAGCAGCCUAAAUUUCAUUAUUGGUGAUGACCAAGCUUUUGAAACCUUUGGCCACAUCAAUAGUUUUACGAACUUGGCACAUUUGUUAUUUUGUUGUGAUCACAGAAUGCCAGCUAAGUUGAAGGGAAAGGAUUUCAGGUCACAAUUUAUGAUAUAUGAUACUGAGUGUUGGGCGGUGAAUAAAGAACACAUGUACAAGCUCAGUGUGGCAAACAUGAGAAUGUUAAGAUAGACUUGCAUAACUGCAUUGAACCAUUAAUAAUGUAUUCAUUUGCAGAAUGGCAGAAGCCCUAAUGGGAAAGAAAUGAAAGGCCAUGCUAAGAUGUCUUGGACACAUGCAUUGUAGACCACCAAGUUCACUUG
rnacentral:lncRNA from 1 species